ensembl:lincRNA
CACUGAGGUUUCUUUUUUUUUAUUUUUUUUAUUUUUUGAGAUGGGGUCUCACUCUAUCACCCAGGCUGGAGUGCAGUGGCGCGAUCUAGGCUCACUGCAACCUCUGCCUCCUGAGUUCAAGCAAUUCUCCUGCCUCAGCCUUUCAAGUAGCUGGGACUACAGGCAUGUGCCACCACACCCGGCGAAUUUUUUAUAUUUUUAGUAGAGACGAGGUUUCACUCCGUUAGCCAGGAUGGUCUCAAUCUCCUGACCUCGUGAUCAUCCCGUCUCGGCCUCCCAAAAUGCUGGGAUUACAAGUGUGAGCUACCGUGCCUGGCCCACUGAUGUUUCUUAAAUGAGAAUUCCAGCUGUGUCUACAGGCUUUAAAGAUGUACAGGCAUAUGUAUGUAAUCAUAUGAUCAUGGAAAAAACUAUGGUAUAUAAGCCUAACAUGCGGUAUCUAUUAUGGGGAUGGUAUAUCUAAAAGAAAAAACAUAUUGCACUUAAAACACACAGUCAUAAUAUGUAUAAUAUGAUACCUUUUUGCAUGACUAUGAUACUGUAUUUGUGUAUUCAUAGAUACAGAUUUUUAAAACAUAUUCUUAUGCAAGGAAGGAAAAAGUGUCGGUGAAUGACUUCAUAUUUCUAUUGUGACUUCUAUGUGCUCUGCACGGUUGCUGGAGUUCAGAAAACAUUGGAAAGAGUUAAAUGAGAAUGCAUAUGAGAGUUCAAGACUUCAGCAGAAAAAAAAUCACCUCAUUAAAGGAAAAUUGUGCCUUAUCCCCACUACUCGAAGAUGCAACCAUCUCCCUGGUCACAGCCACUUUUUUCCUUUUUUUCUCACUCCAUUGUACGUGUGUGUGGUGGGGCAGGGGAUAAGGGGAAUUAUCUCUCUCCAGUAUAAGAAGGUAAUGAUUCAAAGAUUUAAAUGCUAA